GGUUAGUAAAGCUUCAAGCCCAGCGUGUGUCUUGAAAUCACAAGAAAGGAGUUAAAAUCUCCUGAUAACCU
rnacentral:tRNA from 1 species